CCUACGGGAGGCAGCAGUGGGGAAUUUUGGACAAUGGGCGCAAGCCUGAUCCAGCCAUGCCGCGUGCGGGAAGAAGGCCUUCGGGUUGUAAACCGCUUUUGUCAGGGAAGAAAAGGUUCUGGAUAAUACCUGGGACUCAUGACGGUACCUGAAGAAUAAGCACCGGCUAACUACGUGCCAGCAGCCGCGGUAAUACGUAGGGUGCAAGCGUUAAUCGGAAUUACUGGGCGUAAAGCGUGCGCAGGCGGUUAUGCAAGACAGAGGUGAAAUCCCCGGGCUCAACCUGGGAACUGCCUUUGUGACUGCAUAGCUAGAGUACGGUAGAGGGGGAUGGAAUUCCGCGUGUAGCAGUGAGAUGCGUAGAUAUGCGGAGGAACACCGAUGGCGAAGGCAAUCCCCUGGACCUGUACUGACGCUCAUGCACGAAAGCGUAGGGGAGCAAACAGGAUUAGAUACCCUGGUAGUCCACGCCCUAAACGAUGUCAACUGGUUGUUGGGAGGUUUCUUCUCAGUAACGAAGCUAACGCGUGAAGUUGACCGCCUGGGGAGUACGGCCGCAAGGUUGAAACUCGAAAUGAAAGUUGACGG
rnacentral:rRNA from 1 species